rnacentral:rRNA from 1 species
AACGAACGCUGGCGGCAGGCCUAACACAUGCAAGUCGAGCGAAGACUUCGGUUCUAUCCGCGGACGGGUGAGUAACGCGUGGGGAUGUUCCCUUCUCUACGGCAUAGCUCUGGGAAACUGGGAGUAAUACCGUAUACGCCCUAUUGGGGAAAGAUUUAUCGAAGAAGGUUCAGCACGCGUUGGAUUCGGUUGUUGGUGGGGUAAUGGCCUACCAAGCCGAGGAUCCAUAGAUUGUUUGAGAGGAUGAUCAGCGACACUGGGACUGAGACACGGCCCAGACUCCUACGCACUGCGGCCGUGGGUGGCCGUGGCCCAUGGCGGCAGCCAUGAUCGAGCCAUGCCGGGUGAGUGAUGAAGGCCUGAGGGUAGUAAAGCGUUUUCAGCUGGGACGGUAAUGACGGUCCCUGCUGAAGCAGCCACGGCUCCCUCCGUG